rnacentral:lncRNA from 1 species
GCAGCCCCGCCAACCCGUACGAACUCGUAAAAAGAAGAAAAGUAUUGGCGAAGUCGCCUGCUUGAAAAUAAGUGCGAGGAAAUAGUAGUUUGUUGUAUUGAUUUGAUGAUGUUUACAGAUCUAUGAAGGUAGCUAUUUAUAGCCUGUUACAAACGACUUCUUAACCGACUAGAACUCUAUCUCUAAUUUUAAACGGAAACGAAUAUUUACAAGUACGAUUCGUA